rnacentral:rRNA from 1 species
UACGGGGGGGGCAAGCGUUGUUCGGAAUUACUGGGCGUAAAGGGCGCGUAGGCGGCGUGUCAAGUCAGGCGUGAAAGCCCCGGGCUCAACCUGGGAACCGCGCUUGAGACUGGCAUGCUCGAGUUCGGGAGAGGAUGGUGGAAUUCCCAGUGUAGAGGUGAAAUUCGUAGAUAUUGGGAAGAACACCGAUGGCGAAGGCAGCCAUCUGGACCGACACUGACGCUGAGGCGCGAAAGCGUGGGGAGCAAACAGG